AACGAACGCUGGCGGCAUGCCUAACACAUGCAAGUCGAACGAGACCUUCGGGUCUAGUGGCGCACGGGUGCGUAACGCGUGGGAACCUGCCCUUAGGUUCGGAAUAACUCCCCGAAAGGGGUGCUAAUACCGGAUAAUGUCUUCGGACCAAAGAGUUAUCGCCUUUGGAUGGGCCCGCGUUGGAUUAGCUAGUUGGUAGGGUAAAAGCCUACCAAGGCGACGAUCCAUAGCUGGUCUGAGAGGAUGAUCAGCCACACUGGGACUGAGACACGGCCCAGACUCCUACGGGAGGCAGCAGUGGGGAAUAUUGGACAAUGGGCGAAAGCCUGAUCCAGCAAUGCCGCGUGAGUGAUGAAGGCCUUAGGGUUGUAAAGCUCUUUUACCCGGGAUGAUAAUGACAGUACCGGGAGAAUAAGCGCCGGCUAACUCCGUG
rnacentral:rRNA from 1 species